UGGAGGCAGCAGUGGGGAAUUUUGCGCAAUGGGCGAAAGCCUGACGCAGCAACGCCGCGUGGAGGAUGAAGGUCUUCGGAUCGUAAACUCCUGUCAGGGGGGACGAAAGCCCGCAAGGGUUUGACUGUACCCUCUGAGGAAGCCACGGCUAACUCCGUGCCAGCAGCCGCGGUAAUACGGAGGUGGCAAGCGUUGUUCGGAAUUACUGGGCGUAAAGGGCGCGUAGGCGGCAUGGCAAGUCAGAUGUGAAAGCCCCGGGCUUAACUCGGGAACUGCAUCUGAAACUGCUUUGCUUGAGUCCUGGAGGGGGUAGUGGAAUUCCCAGUGUAGCGGUGAAAUGCGUAGAUAUUGGGAGGAACACCGGUGGCGAAGGCGGCUACCUGGACAGUGACUGACGCUGAGGCGCGAAAGCUAGGGGAGCAAACGGGAUUAGAUACCCCGGUAGU
rnacentral:rRNA from 1 species